UCUGGCCUGCAUUCAGCCUCGUUGUGGCUGGCAGUUGGGCGCUGCGUCUCCAGAUUGGGACAGUGUUUGGCAUUGCUGGCAACAAUGUUGGUGCAUUUGCAGGUGGAGUGCGCCGAGACUUUCGAGUCGGCGAUAUGAGCUCAAUUUUGAGGCCAGCUUGCUGGUACCCGAAUUGGAGGAAUGUUGUUCGUUUUGGAUGUAAGAUGGGAAAGGCUCACGAGUUUGUAUGGGCACCGAGUCGGUCGGAGGUGGCAGUCGCAUGCGACAUGUACCUUUUGCUGAUUCGGUCCUGUGCGAGCUCACAAUCCCACUCUCGGCGUAAAAGUUGGUCAUCUAUCCGACCCGUCUUGAAACACGGACCAAGGAGUUUAUCGUGUGCGCAAGUCAUUGGGUGUUGAAAACUCAAAGGCGCAAUGAAAGUAAAGGAUCCGCAAGGACACGACGUGUGAUCCUGGUAAUCACGGUUGCCAGGAGCAACAUGGCCCCAUUCUGGUCGCUUGCGACGGGGUGGAGGAAGAGCGUACGCGGUGAGACCCGAAAGAUGGUGAACUAUUCCUGAGCAGGAUGAAGUCAGAGGA
rnacentral:rRNA from 1 species